ACUCCUACGGGAGGCAGCAGUGAGGAAUAUUGGACAAUGGGCGGGAGCCUGAUCCAGCCAUGCCGCGUGCAGGAAGACUGCCCUAUGGGUUGUAAACUGCUUUUAUACGGGAAGAAACACUCCCUCGUGAGGGAAUUGACGGUACCGUAAGAAUAAGGAUCGGCUAACUCCGUGCCAGCAGCCGCGGUAAUACGGAGGAUCCAAGCGUUAUCCGGAAUCAUUGGGUUUAAAGGGUCCGUAGGGUGGACGAUUAAGUCAGAGGUGAAAUCUUGCAGCUCAACUGUAAAAUUGCCUUUGAUACUGGUUGUCUUGAGUUAUUAUGAAGUGGUUAGAAUAUGUAGUGUAGCGGUGAAAUGCAUAGAUAUUACAUAGAAUACCCAAUUGCGAAGGCAGAUCACUAAUAAUAUACUGACACUGAUGGACGAAAGCGUGGGUAGCGAACAGGAUUAGAUACCCUGGUAGCUACGAGU
rnacentral:rRNA from 1 species